rnacentral:rRNA from 1 species
UGGGGAAUAUUGGGCAAUGGGGGGAACCCUGACCCAGCAACGCCGCGUGGAGGAAGAAGGUUUUCGGAUCGUAAACUCCUGUCCUCAGGGAAGAGCAGAAGACGGUACCUGAGGAGGAAGCCCCGGCUAACUACGUG